rnacentral:rRNA from 1 species
ACUCCUACGGGAGGCAGCAGUGGGGAAUAUUGCACAAUGGGCGCAAGCCUGAUGCAGCCAUGCCGCGUGUGUGAAGAAGGCCUUCGGGUUGUAAAGCACUUUCAGUCGUGAGGAAGGUAGUGUAGUUAAUAGCUGCAUUAUUUGACGUUAGCGACAGAAGAAGCACCGGCUAACUCCGUGCCAGCAGCCGCGGUAAGUACGGAGGGUGCGAGCGUUAAUCGGAAUUACUGGGCGUAAAGCGCAUGCAGGUGGUUGUUAAGUCAGAUGUGAAAGCCCGGGGCUCAACCUCGGAAUAGCAUUUGAAACUGGCAGACGUAGAGUACUGUAGAGGGGGUAGGAAUUUCAGGUGUAGCGGUG